rnacentral:rRNA from 1 species
UAUAAUUUAAAGUCGGGCCUGCCCACUGAAUUAUUUGAAGGGCCGCAGUAUUUUGACUGUGCAAAGGUAGCAUAAUCAUUAGUUUUUUAAUUGAAAGCUGGAAUGAAUGGUUUGAUGAAAAAAUUACUGUCUUAAAUUUAAUUUUUUAGAAUUUUAUUUUUAAGUUAAAAAGCUUAAAUAUUUUUAAAAGACGAGAAGACCCUAUAGAGUUUAAUUUAUUUUUGGUUAAUUUUUUUUAGAAUUAAUUAAAUUUUAAUUUAAAAUAAAUUUAAUUGGGGUGAUUAAAAAAUUAAAUAAACUUUUUUUAUAUUAAAACAUAAGUUAAUG